AUUGAACGCUGGCGGCAGGCCUAACACAUGCAAGUCGAGCGGAUGAAGGGAGCUUGCUCCUGGAUUCAGGGGCGGAGGGGUGAGUAAUGCCUUGGAAUCUGCAUUGAAUUGGGGGAUAACGUCCGGAAACGGGCGCUAAUACCGCAUACGUCCUGAGGUAGAAUGUGGGGGGGCUUGGGACCUCACGCUAUCAGAUGAGCGUAGGUCGGAAUAGCUAGGUGGUGGGGUAAAGGCCUACCAAGGCGACGAUCCGUAACUGGUCUGAGAGGAUGAACAGUCACACUGGAAGUGAGACACGUCCCAGACACCUAGGGGAGGCAGCAGUGGGGACUACUGCACAAUGCGGGAAAGCCUGAUCCAGCCAUGCCGCGUGUGUGAAGAAGGUCUUAGGCUUCGAAAGCAAUGUAAGUUGGGGGGAAGGGCAGUACGUUAACACCUUACUGUAUUGACGUUACCAACAGAAUAAGCACCGGCUAACUUCGUG
rnacentral:rRNA from 1 species